rnacentral:lncRNA from 1 species
AUUAAACUAAGUAAGUAAAAAAAAAUAGUAAACUAUAUUAUGCCUCAAAAUAAAGAAAUAAUUAAGCAAAUAGAGAUCAAGAUAGUCCAUAUUUAAAUGUAAAAUAUAAAUGGUUCACAUACAAGCCUAGUUAGAAACUAAAUACAAGAUGAAAUUGGCACUUUGCAUAGUGCAUAACUGCAUGCUAGCAUAUCUAAAUUCUAAAGUCUAAACAGUAAAUAAAUAAAAGAUACAUAAAGUUCACUAUUAUAUAAGCAUACAUAAAAGCUUGAAUAAACAUAGAGCAUACAAGCACACAAUUUCACAUAUAAGCAUACAUAAAAGCUAGACAUCUUCACUCUUCAUACAACAAUAAGCAAAUUAAUGAAUGUAACAACAAUUAACAACAAUUUAACUAGGACUAAUAUAGAAAUCCGGAGUUUAGAGAAAGAGAAGGAUUCUAAAGUUAAACAUCUUCAAACUCUUAUUCUCCAGAUCUUCUCAUUAUAUAGUGAAAAAAUGCUGCAUUUCUAAUACUAAAAAGUUAUGUUUCAAAAUUUAAGUAGAAACCCCACUGAGUCAAUUGUCCAUGAAAGACUGAGUCAAUUGUCCAUGAAAGACCACCACAAAAUUUUCCUUUUGCAAGUGACGACAAGAUCAUGAAAUUGACUAGGUAUAAUACAAGAGUUCCUGGUCCCUAAGUUAAUUAAGAUUAUUAUUUAGCACUAUAUUUGGGUCUUCUUUGUGCAUAACAGAGAAUGGACACAUUCAAUUAAGCACUCCGCCAUUUGUGUAUAAAAAAGUAUCCAUCAGAUGGACUAAAAGCUUGCAACUUUUGCUUUGAAGAACCACCGAAAACUCAAAUCGUACCUGGUUUGUAAAGAACCACUCGAUUACUGAUCUACCGUUGGAUAGCGGAAGCGGAAGCGGAAGCGGAAGCGGAAGAGGCGACGAGGAGGGUUUCGAUUUCUGGAGAGUGAAGAACCCGAUCUUCGAUCUUCGAUUUCUGAAGAGGAGAGCUUCCGCGAUGGCGUUCGGCGAGCGGCCGGAAGGGAAGAGGGCGACCGCCGCAGGGGUCGGUGGCAGGGCCGCACCUCCGCAGGGGUCAGGUGUGAGUUUUCUGGGGACUCGUGGAAGGGAAGCGAUUCUUUUCAAAAAGUUUUUUUUUUUUUUUUUUUUUUUUUUUUUUGGCCCUUUUGGGCGACACUGCGACAGGGUGAGGCCGUGAGGGCCGUGAGGCAGAGCGGGUUUUGGGCGAGGCAAAUCGGAUUCUGGGCCGGUUUCUUGGGCCGAAUUAUUCGUGAAUCCCGUUUAAUUCGCGAAUAAUUCUUUUUACUCAAAAAAAAGAUAAUUUUUUUCAAAUUUUUGGAAAAAAUACGAAAACGGGAGCUUUAUUCGGUAUUUCAAAAAUUUGCGAAUAGUUCGCGAAUAAUUCGCGAAUUAAUUAACUAUAGUCAGGAUUUGACCCAGCUAGGAAACAGCCCAAAAUUCGCGAAUUAACUAACUAUACAUAUAUUCAUAUAAAAUAAAAUAAAAAAUCGUUCACCUCCUCUCUCCUCUCCUCUCCCCUCCGCCUCCCCCGCCAUGCCGCCUCCUGCGGCCGCCCUCGCGUGGCUCUCCAUUGCCACGAUCGCCGUCGCUGCCGUCGCCGUCGCCAUCGUAUCAUCAUCGGUGGGGGGCAUCGGGGUGAACUGGGGGACGCAGAUGUCACACCCGAUGCUACCGACGACGGUUGUGCGAAUGCUGAAGGCGAACGGCAUCAGCCAGGUGAAGCUGUUCGACGGGGACGCGUGGACCGUGGGCGCGCUCGCAGGCACCGGCAUCGAGGUCGUGCUCGCCAUCCCCAACGACCAGCUCGCUCGGAUGAGCAGCAGCUACGACAACGCCAAGAAGUGGGUCAAGGAGAAUGUUACCAGAUAUGACCACGAUGGAGGGGUCAAUAUCAAGUAACGACAAAUUACCAGACACUUUUUAAUUGUUUCAAUUUGCUCCCUCAGAAUUUUUUUUACUAACACGCGAGUUUUGUACUAAACAUUACCACCGUCCAAAUAUGAACUUUAAAUACAAUAUUAAUUCUAAUUUUUUAUACUUUAUUUUAUAAAGAAUUAAAGUCCAAAAUUUAAUUGUUCAGGUAUGUGGCCGUGGGUAAUGAGCCCUUCCUGAAGAGCUACAACGGCUCGUUUCUGCGCACCACCUUUCCCGCCCUAAAGAACGUUCAAAAGGCCCUGGACGAGGCCGGGGUCGGAAACCGGAUCAAGACCACCGUCCCGCUCAACGCUGAUGUCUACAGCUCCCCAGACGACGACCCCGUGCCGUCUGCCGGCAACUUCCGCUCCGACAUCUGCGAGCUCAUGGUACAGAUUGUUCGCUUCCUCCGCGACCACAAUGCCCCGUUCGUCGCCAACAUCUAUCCCUUCCUCAGCCUCUACCAGAACCACGGCUUCCCCGUCGCCUUUGCCUUUUUUGAUGGCGGCGGCCCCACCAUCGAUGACAAGGGGGCCCACUACACCAACGUGUUCGACGCCAACUACGACACUCUCGCCUGGUCGUUGAAGAAGGCCGGCGUGCCUAACAUGCCAAUCAUUGUCGGCGAGGUUGUUUGAAACAAUAUAUAUAUAUAUAUAGAGAGAGAGAGAGUGAGUCCGGCUACUAUACUUUCAUGAGUAUUGGCUCUCUUAUACUCAUAAGUUUUCGGCCCUUAGAUAUAUUUUAUUGAUCAUUUCCACCCGUUAGAUCAUACUAUUCAACCAACUAUCCACUCAAGUGGGGACUACCAUCAUCUUAACCACACAUUCCAUCAAUCAACGGUUACAAAUUUAUGAGUACAAGGGGGUCUCUACUCAUAAGAAUAUAAUAGCCCCAGCCUAUAUAUAUAUUAAUUAUUAUAUAUAUAUAUAUAUAUGUCCUACUAUGCUAUCAAUAGUUCAGUCCCUUUGCAUACUAUUGAGUUUUCGGUCGUUGAAUAAAAAGAUGUGCGGUUAGGAUGAUAGUGUCCCCUAGGUUGAGUGUACGGUUGGUUUAAUAGUAUAAUCUAACGGGUAGAGAUGAUCAAAGGGUAGAUCUAAGGUAGAAAACUCAAUAGUACCAAAGACUUAAUACUAUCGAUAGUAUAGUAGCUCUCUCUCUCUUCUCUCUCUCUCUUCUCUCUCUCUCUAUAUAUAUAUAUAUAUAUUAUGAGUAAGGCUACUAUGCUUGCAGAAGUAUGGAGCCUUCCGUGCUUCCAGCCUCGUUUUCGAUAUUGCGACUUUCGAAUCAUCUAUCGACUCCAUUAAAUUUGAUCUCGAGUAUUUGAAGUACUAGAAAAUAAUUAUGCGAUUUUUCGAUAUAUUUACCUAGUGAACGAAGAGGCUCAAAUCAAUGCUGGAAAAUAAAAAUCUUACAAAACGUGAUAAUAUGACAUAAAAAUUUUAGAUCAAAGAUAUUGAUCUUGUUUUAUAUAGUAUAAAGAAUUUCUAUCAAAAUUUCAUGUAAUUUGGAUAUUUCUACACCGUUAAACUUGUAAACGGCCUCACUACGACCAUUAAAAUUAUUAAUUUUGAGCCCUUCGAUAACUAGGCAAAUGAUAUCGAAAAAUCAUAAAAUUUAUUUUCUAGGUACUUCAAAUAUUCUAGAUCAAGUUUAACGGAGCCGAUCGACGAUUCGAAGUCGUAACAUCAAAAACAGCUGGAAGCACGAAGGCUCCGUGCUUCUAAUAGCAUAGUAGCUUCUCACUAUAUAUAUAUAUAUAUAUAUUAUAUAAUAUAUAUAUAUAUAUAUAUAUAUAUAUAUAUAUAUAUAAUAUAUCAUAUAGUUCUAUUACUAUACUUUUAUGAGUACGAUCGCCUUCAUACUCAUAAAUCGUUUUCGGUAAUAGAGCUUUCGAAUCGACGAUCCAUACCGUUAAAUAUUUUCUAGAGCAUUUAAAAUUUCUAAAAAUCAAAUUUCAUAAUUUUUCAACAUCAUUUACCUUACGAUCAAAAGCUCACAAAAUUAAUAAUUUUAAUGACCGGUAUAAAAUACUGGCUAGUUUAACGGUGCAAAAGAAUCCGAAUAUGUUGAAUUUUUGAUAGAAAAUUCUAUUCACUACCUAGAUAAAGAUCAAUAACUCCGAUAUUAAAUUGAAGGAUCCGAUCAUCUAUUUUAAGAUGUCGUUCGAUUUUGGUCGUUCAUUUUAUGCCCGCUUAAUGGACAUUAUUAUGAUUUCGAAAAAUUACAAAAUUUAUUUUUUAAAAGUUUCAAAUACUCUAAAUUAUAUUUAAGACAGUGGAUCGUUGAUUCGGAAACUCUAUCAUCGAAAACAAAUUAUAAAUACAAAAGGGCCAAUACUCAUAAGAGUAUAGUAGCCCUACUAUAUAUAUAUAUAUAUAUAUAUAUAUAUAGAAUUGGGCUCCUAUGCUUUCAAAAGUACCAAGUCAUUAGUGCUUGUAAAUUUUUGACCCUUGGAUUAAGAAAUGUGCGGUUAGGAUGAUGUGGGCCCCAUAGGGUUGAGUGGGUGGUUGGUUGAAUAGUAUAAUCUAACAGGUGAAAAUGAUCAAAGGCGUAGAUCUAACGGUAAAAAAUUUACAAGCACCAAAUGCUUGGUGCUUUUACAAGCACCAUAGCCGGACUCUCUCUCUCUCUCUCUCUCUCUCUCUCUCUCUCUAUAUAUAUAUAUAUAUAUAUAUAUAUAUAUAUAUAGAAUUGGGCUCCUAUGCUUUCAAAAGUACCAAGUCAUUAGUGCUUGUAAAUUUUUGACCCUUGGAUUAAGAAAUGUGCGGUUAGGAUGAUGUGGGCCCCAUAGGGUUGAGUGGGUGGUUGGUUGAAUAGUAUAAUCUAACAGGUGAAAAUGAUCAAAGGCGUAGAUCUAACGGUAAAAAAUUUACAAGCACCAAAUGCUUGGUGCUUUUACAAGCACCAUAGCCGGACUCUCUCUCUCUCUCUCUCUCUCUCUCUCUCUCUCUAUAUAUAUAUAUAUAUUGGGUUGUUUGGACCGAGCGAAACAGCUUUAUCUUCUCUUCGAUUCUUCCGAACGUCGCUAGAGCCUCAACCCUGUCCAACUCCUGGAUCUCGCUCCUGUAACCCUGCAACUUUGCUAUUUUUUGUCUUCCCUCUCUCUCUCCCUGACCUCUCCCCUCUUUUUUGCUUUGUCUCUUUAUUUCCUUUUAUGUACCUCCCCUCUGUUUUUUAUAAAGGAAGCCUAAGCUGCUUCCACCUUGUAAGCUUAGUUCAUUACUUUUAUUGAAUGAAGCAGGUAGCGUGCUACCUAUUUCUCAAAAAAAAAAAAUAUAUAUAUAUAUAUAUAGUUGGGCUAGGAUACUUUUAGAAGCACCACCCAUUUGGUGCUUCUAAGUUUCUAACCCUUGAAUCCACUCCAUAAUUACUUAUAUCCCUUGGAUCAAACAUUAUUACACCUACCACCACCUACCACCAUCAUCUCAACCUCACAUCUCUCCAUCCAAUGGCUAAAACUCUAAGGCACCACCCACUUGGUGCUUUUGGAGUAUUCUAGCUCCACUCUAUAUAUAUAUAGACUCCGGCUACUAUACUCUUAUGAGUACGAUUGCCCUUGUACUCAUAAGUUAUUUUUGAUGAUCGGACUUUCGAAUCGACGAUCCAUACCGUUAAACAUUAUCUAAAGCAUUUAAAAUUCUAAAAACCAAAUUUUAUAAUUUUUCGACAUCAUUUACCUUACGAUCAAAAGCUCACAAAAUUGAUAUUUUUUAACUGCCGGUAUAGAAUACUUGCUAGUUUAACGGUGUAAAAGAAUUAGAAUAAGUUAAAUUUUUAAUAAAAAAUCGUAUUCACUAUCUAGAUAAAAAUCAAUAAUUCUGAUCUUAAAUUGAAGGAUCCGAUCAUCUAUUUAGGACGUCGUUCGAUUUUGACCGUUCAUUUUAUACCCGUUUGAUUGAUUUUAUUAUGAUUUUGAAAACUUACGAAAUUUAUUUUUAGAAAUUUCAAAUACUCUAGAUUAUAUUUAACGGGGUGGAUCGUCGAUUCGGAAGCCCGAUCAUCGAAAAUAAUUUAUGAGUACGAAGGGCCCAAUACUCAUAAGAGUAUGUAGCUCGAUACUAUCUAUAGUACGGAGGCUCCGGUACUAUAGUCUCGUUUUCGAUCUUAGGGUGUUCAAAUCAAAGAUCCAUACCAUUAAAACUGAUCUAAAAUAUUUAAAAUUUUUAGAAAUAAAAUUUUAUAUUUUUUCGACAUAGUUUACUUUAUGAUCAAACCAUUUCAAAAUUGUCAAUUUUCAAAGGUUAUUAUGGCUAGUUUGGAGUUUAACAGUGUAGAAGAAUCUAAAUUUCUUCAAAUUUUGAUAGAAAAUACUUUAAACCAUCUAGAAUAAGGUUAACAUUCUUGAUCUUGAAUUUAAAAGUCCUAUCCUCAUAUUUUAAAGAUUAUUCAAUUUUCACUGUCCAUUUUGACAUAAUUUAUUUACUAAGUAAACGAUGUCGAAAAAAACUAAAAUUUUCUUCCUAAGAACUUCAUAUACCCUAGAUCAUAUUUAACGGUGUGGAUCGUUAAUCUGAACACCCUAAGAUCGAAAACAAGACUAUAGUUCCGAAGCUCCGGUACUAUAGAUAGUAUAAUAGCCUAAUUCUAUAUAUAUAUA